UCCUCCUUUCUCUCCUGCCUCUCUUUGCCUGCUCUGUUUCUCUCUCAGUGUCUCCCUUGAGCCAGGGCAGCUGCCACCAAAGACCCUGCCCUGAUUUAAUUCCCAGUGCAGGAGCUACAACAACCUUGGAUGAAGUUCUGAAGGCUGGCAGUGAAAUGUCACUACAGCCUGAGCCAUCCAGGACAGGUGGAAAGAAGGCGAGAACAAAAACUGGUUCCUAGGGGAGGGGGCGUGGCAUGACAGCACCUGACCCUCCAAUCAAGCUGCAGGAAAGCAGACUCCACCAAUAAACAGCAAAGAAGGGUUGACUGACAGACUGUGGGCAGGGCCAGGGUUGGCUGAUGCAAUCCCGGGGUAUCAAAGGCGAAGCGUCCAUCUUGAGGACGAGCCAGGCACGUGGCAGGCAGCCAUGAGGGGAGCUCCCAGGCCUGUUCUUCCUUAUUUAGUCCUUUUCUUGUCAUUUUUGUUAAGGUUGAAUAAACCUUUUAAAAUUUUGAAAGUCA